rnacentral:rRNA from 1 species
UACGUAGGGUGCAAGCGUUACUCGGAAUUACUGGGCGUAAAGCGUGCGCAGGCGGUUCGCUAAGACCGAUGUGAAAUCCCCGAGCUCAACUUGGGAAUUGCAAUGGAUACUGGCAGGCUGGAGUAUGGUAGAGGAAGGUGGAAUUCCCGGUGUAGCAGUGAAAUGCGUAGAGAUCGGGAGGAACACCAGUGGCGAAGGCGGCCUUCUGGACCAAUACUGACGCUCAUGCACGAAAGCGUGGGGAGCAAACAGG